rnacentral:rRNA from 1 species
CCUACGGGUGGCAGCAGUGGGGAAUAUUGCGCAAUGGGCGAAAGCCUGACGCAGCGACGCCGCGGGAGGGAUGAAGGUCUUCGGAUCGUAAACCUCUGUCAGCAGGGAAGAACGGUCACUGUGCUAAUCAGCAGUGAAUUGACGGUACCUGCAAAGGAAGCACCGGCUAACUCCGUGCCAGCAGCCGCGGUAAUACGGAGGGUGCGAGCGUUAAUCGGAAUUACUGGGCGUAAAGCGCUCGUAGGCGGUAUGUCAAGUCAAGGGUGAAAUCCCCGCGCUCAACGUGGGAAGUGCCAUUGAAACUGGCAAACUGGAGUGUGUGAGAGGAUAGUGGAAUUCCAGGUGUAGGAGUGAAAGCCGUAGAUAUCUGGAGGAACAUCAGUGGCGAAGGCGACUAUCUGGCACAUAACUGACGCUGAGGAGCGAAAGCGUGGGUAGCAAACAGGAUUAGAUACCCCAGUAGUC